CAGCCGCCGCGGGAAUACGUAGGGUGCGAGCGUUAAUCGGAAUUACUGGGCGUAAAGCGUGCGCAGGCGGUUUUGUAAGACAGGCGUGAAAUCCCCGGGCUCAACCUGGGAAUGGCGCUUGUGACUGCAAAGCUAGAGUGCGGCAGAGGGGAAUGGAAUUCCGCGUGUAGCAGUGAAAUGCGUAGAUAUGCGGAGGAACACCGAUGGCGAAGGCAAUCCCCUGGGCCUGCACUGACGCUCAUGCACGAAAGCGUGGGGAGCAAACAGGAUUAGAUACCCCUGUAGUCCCUGUCUCUUAUAC
rnacentral:rRNA from 1 species